rnacentral:rRNA from 1 species
UACGGGGGGGGCAAGCGUUGUUCGGAAUUACUGGGCGUAAAGGGCUCGUAGGCGGCCAACUAAGUCAGACGUGAAAUCCCUAGGCUCAACCUAGGAACUGCGUCUGAUACUGGAUGGCUUGAAUCCGGGAGAGGGAUGCAGAAUUCCAGGUGUAGCGGUGAAAUGCGUAGAUAUCUGGAGGAACACCUGUGGCGAAGGCGGCCCCCUGGUUGGAUACUGACGCUGAUACGCGAAAGCGUGGGGAGCAAACAGG